UCCGAGUAGGACCCGGCCUGAGACGAGGGCGCGCCCCCGACGGGCUUGGGCGCGUGCGCGCGCGGUCCCGGCACUCCGUGACCUGGUGCGUUCUCUUUCCUGGCCAGGCCUGCCACCUACGGCGCACUACCUGAGUUUUUCUCUGCAAUUACUUGAGUAGGCUGCAUUUUCUCCCCGCCCUUCUCUGUAAGGUGAGGACGUGGGGUAAAUAAUUUUUCUUAAAGGUAAGGGAGAGAACAGCAGUGAGCAGGAAAAACCGGGUCAUCGCCAUCGUCAUCACCAACCAGAGCUCCCGGCUGCUGGGCACUUUUACACGGUACCUUGGUCUGAAGUCGUCCUGCUUUCCUUACGCUUUUUAGAUUCUCAGUUUAGUUCUCUUUAAGUUAUCUCUGCUAGUCAGUCCUUUGGUCGGGCGACUCCAACGAAAAAAAAAAUGCCUGGUGAUUCCCUGGCUCAAUUGAAAAGAGAGGAAGACAACAUUAAGAAAAAUUAACUAACCUCAAGACCUGUGGUGAAUGUGUGUACAGUUCUGGACUAGAAGCUGGGCAUGCAAAGAUGAUAUGAAUUAAUGUGUGUGGCUCCUUUUUUCUCUCCUAGCCCCUGAUUCUCAUAAGGAAUGUGUCUUGAGGCCUAGUAGAAUUGCAUUUUCAGAGGCAGCCGUAGUGAUCAUUAUACUCUUUACUGGCCAAGCCACAUCUGGAGUUACGUGUUCAAUUCUAGAUUGAGCAAUUUAAGAAGACCUCAAAGAAGUUGAAAUUAUUUCAGAGAAGAGCAAAAUGGUGAAGAGAACUCAAAAACAACAAAUGAAGUAGUGGUUGAACUUUGGAGGAUUCUUAUAGAAAAAAACUACUGGGGCUAUCUCCAAAUCGGUACAGACUUGUUAUAUGGCAUAGAUUUGUUUUAUGUGGUCUCAAGAGAUGCAGACUUGAGAGAAACAGAUUUCAGAUCCUGAAAGGAAGAUCCCCUUCUAGGACUAAACAGAGAAAUUGCAUUAGGGUGCAUAGAUACCCCGACUACUGGAUUUGAUUUUAAGUAGAUUUUAAAGGCUUACUUAAACUGUACUAAGUGCAGGGUAGCCAUGCAUCGAGAGAAGAAUUAGUUGAUGGUUUUGUUAAAGUUACUUCCAGUUUUGAUAUUCAAUCAGUCCAUGGUCCCAGCCUUAAAAGAAUCUACAGUUAGCUUAUGAGGUAAGACAAAUGCAUCAAAAGGUAAAUAAUGCAAAGAAGCCAUAUGGUAAAGAGAGUUACUAACAAUAAGUGCUAGGAAUUCACACGACAGAUUGUUAUUACAGUUCCAAAGUCUUAAGGAAGAAGGAGGAAAUGAAAAUAGACUAUCUAGAACUGCCCUGUCCAGUAGGGUAGCCACUAGCCAAAUGUGGCUAUUCUCUCUUGAAAUAGAGCUGGUCUGAAUUGAGAAAUGCAGUAAGUGUGAAAUACCAGAUUUCAAAAACUUAGUACCAAGAAAAAGUAAAAUAUCUUAAUUCUUAUAUGGACUACAUAUUGAAAUAAGAUUUGGUAUAUAUUGGAUCAAUAUAUUAAAAUUAAUUUUACUGAUUUAUUUUUCCUCUUUUAAUGUGGCUACUGGAAAAUUUUAAAACAGAUGGCUUGCAUCUUAUUUUUAUUAGACAGUCCUGGCUUAGAAGGACAUAUAGUUCAUUGAACUCUAAAAACUGGCUUUGUCCUCUUUGUAGUCCCUGGGGGGUUGUCCAAAAUGUUAAUGGAAAGGCAAUCUGAUGACAAGAUGCUAAUGAAGGAAGACUGUCCAGAUCCAGAAUGUAUGUCAUGAGCAAAGACAAGGAAACAAGACUGCAGGUACAUUCUAUUAAAGUUGCAACAUUGGGUUUUAAAAUUUCAUCUUUGCUGGGCCUCAGUGCAGUUUCUUAUCUGGAGCUGACACUUAACGACUCGGGAAUGCGGAUUACUAAAAGACUCAAUUCUAAGAUAAACUUCCCUAACACUUUUAAUAAAUGAUGUUGGGAAGGAAAAAAAGCUAGAUGACUGCCAUGGCAGACACUAUCGGUUGCCUCUCCAAUCACAUUUUUCUCCUCGUAAUGAAAUUAAUAAUUUAGGGUACCAAUCGACUAAAGAAAUGUGAGCUCCUCCCAUUACUCUGGAAGUAAUUCUAUUUCCCUUAGACUGAAAAUGUUGUAGAGGUGAUCAUGUAACCAAGGGACAGUCAGCUAGGGAGGAUUCUGCAAUAAUUUUUACCCAAAUGGCAAAAUAUAUGCUUAUAAACUAUCAAGAGUUAUUCUUGGGUUACUGUUCAUGACGGUGGAGUUGGCAUAUAAUUUGCCUAUUAUUCUUUUCUGGACACUUCUGAAAUAAAAAUGUGGAAGUAGAAAAGCCGAGGAAUAAAUAUGAAUAAAGAUGUG